AGAGUAGGUGAGAGGGAGGUAGAAUUUCAGGUGUAGCGGUGAAAUGCGUAGAGAUCUGAARGAAUACCGAUGGCGAARGCAGCCUCCUGGCAUCAUACUGACACUGAGGUUCGAAAGCGUGGGUAGCAAACAGGAUUAGAUACCCUGGUAGUCCACGCCGUAAACGAUGUCUACUAGUCGUUGGGGAACUUGAUUYCUUAGUGACGCAGCUAACGCAAUAAGUAGACCGCCUGGGGGAGUACGGCCGCAAGGUUAAAACUCAAAUGAAUUGACGGGGGCCCGCACAAGCGGUGGAGCAUGUGGUUUAAUUCGAUGCAACGCGAAGAACCUUACCUGGUCUUGACAUAUCUAGAAUCCUGCAGAGAUGCGGGAGUGCCUUCGGGAAUUAGAAUACAGGUGCUGCAUGGCUGUCGUCAGCUCGUGUCGUGAGAUGUUGGGUUAAGUCCCGCAACGAGCGCAACCCUUUUCCUUAGUUACCAGCGGUUUGGCCGGGGACUCUAAGGAUACUGCCAGUGACAAACUGGAGGAAGGCGGGGACGACGUCAAGUCAUCAUGGCCCUUACGACCAGGGCUACACACGUGCUACAAUGGUAGGUACAGAGGGCAGCUACACAGCGAUGUGAUGCGAAUCUCAAAAAGCCUAUCGUAGUCCAGAUUGGAGUCUGCAACUCGACUCCAUGAAGUAGGAAUCGCUAGUAAUCGCGGAUCAGAAUGCCGCGGUGAAUACGUUCCCGGGCCUUGUACACACCGCCCGUCACACCAUGGGAGUCGAUUGCACCAGAAGUGGGUAGCCUAACUUUUAGAGGGCGCUCACCACGGUGUGGUUGAUGACUGGGGUGAAGUCGUAACAAGGUAA
rnacentral:rRNA from 1 species